rnacentral:tmRNA from 1 species
GGGGAUGAAAGGAUUUGACAGCAAGGCAAGUAUAACAAUGAAGCAUGUCGAGUUUUUGAAUACUAACUCGUCAAAAUAGUUUUCACUUUUUUAAAAGGCGAAAAUAAUUACGCUUUAGCUGCUUAAUCUAGGAUUAAGUAGUUAAUGUCCUUUUUUAAGGUUUGCUUAAGCCUUAAAAUAAUAGGACAUCGAUAAGUUAAGCUAGCUUUAGUAAUUCCUAAGUACUAGAGCGAAAUUUUUAGGAUAAGGUUAAUAUUUGGAUGUGUUAUUCCUAUGUUAACACAAAAACUAAAUAACACUAAGCAUGUAGAAGCUUGUUAAGCUUCUUGUUUGGACCAGGGUUCGAAUCCCUGCAUCUCCACUA